AACGAACGCUGGCGGCAUGCCUAACACAUGCAAGUCGAACGAGACCUUCGGGUCUAGUGGCGCACGGGUGCGUAACGCGUGGGAACCUGCCUUUAGGUUCGGAAUAACUCAGAGAAAUUUGAGCUAAUACCGGAUGAUGUCUUCGGACCAAAGAUUUAUCGCCUUUAGAUGGGCCCGCGUUGGAUUAGCUAGUUGGUGGGGUAAAGGCCUACCAAGGCGACGAUCCAUAGCUGGUCUGAGAGGAUGAUCAGCCACACUGGGACUGAGACACGGCCCAGACUCCUACGGGAGGCAGCAGUGGGGAAUAUUGGACAAUGGGCGAAAGCCUGAUCCAGCAAUGACGCGUGAGUGAUGAAGGCCUUAGGGUUGUAAAGCUCUUUUACCCGAGAUGAUAAUGACAGUAUCGGGAGAAUAAGCUCCGGCUAACUCCGUG
rnacentral:rRNA from 1 species